rnacentral:rRNA from 1 species
ACGCUCGACACCUACUGGAGGCAGCAGUGGGGAAUAUUGCACAAUGGGGGAAACCCUGAUGCAGCGACGCCGCGUGGAGGAAGAGGUCUUCGGAUUGUAAACUCCUGUUGUUGGGGAAAAAGAGGAUGGUACCCAACAAGGAAGUGACGGCUAACUACGUGCAGCAGCCGCGGUAAUCUGAGCGGGCUGGCAAGGC